rnacentral:rRNA from 1 species
AUGAACGCUGGCGGCGUGCCUAAUCCAUGCCCGUCGAGCGAACGGACGAGAAGCUUGCUUCUCUGAUGUUAGCGGCGGACGGGUGAGUAACACGUGGAUAACCUACCUAUAAGACUGGGAUAACUUCGGGAAACCGGAGCUAAUACCGGAUAAUAUUUUGAACCGCAUGGUUCAAAAGUGAAAGACGGUCUUGCUGUCACUUAUAGAUGGAUCCGCGCUGCAUUAGCUAGUUGGUAAGGUAACGGCUUACCAAGGCAACGAUGCAUAGCCGACCUGAGAGGGUGAUCGGCCACACUGGAACUGAGACACGGUCCAGACUCCUACGGGAGGCAGCAGUAGGGAAUCUUCCGCAAUGGGCGAAAGCCUGACGGAGCAACGCCGCGUGAGUGAUGAAGGUCUUCGGAUCGUAAAACUCUGUUAUUAGGGAAGAACAUAUGUGUAAGUAACUGUGCACAUCUUGACGGUACCUAAUCAGAAAGCCACGGCUAACUACGUG